AUAUACCCUUACAGAAAUGAAAAGUUUGCUGCAAUAUUGCAACAAUAUAGCGGCAAUAUUGCAGCAAACAAAUUUGUUUGCAAGAAGUGUUUGCAAGAAAGUUGCAGGUUGUCACAGCUACCUGCAACAUUCUCGCAAUGUUACUGCAACAAAAUUUGUUUGCAAGAAAAUUGCAGCAAGUUUGCUGCAAUGUUGCAAGAAAGAAUUUGUUUGCUAGAAAGUUGCAGGAACCUUUUCUUUUAUUAUUUAAGGAAUGACUUUUUGCAACAACUUUGCAAGAAAAGUUUCUUUAAUAAUGUCAGACAAUCAGAUAGUUUGCACCAAUAUUUCAAGCAUUUUAAAAUAUUACAUAUGAUUAUUUGUUUUAAGAUUUAAGGUUCAAAUAAUACACAACAUAUUGUUUCUUUGAACAUUUGGUUAUGGAUACUUCUAACUAUCUAAAUUUGUUGUCGUCAUACUUUAUUUUACUCAGAAAUAUCUGGAUAUUUGAAUAAUUUAUUUUAAAUAAAUCUUCAAAUAACAAUGCUUAUAUUUUUAGAAUUCCUAAACUGUACAUCACAUUUAUAUGAUAUUUUGUAAGGAAAGAAUUUCAAGAAUACUUUGGUAUUUAUUUCAACAAGUUUAAUCUAAAUAAUUGAGUCAUAUUAAUUUUUGUUCUACAUGUAUUAUUAUGCCUUUUUGUCACUUUUUUGUGACAUUUUUCUAUGAACAAUAUUUUUAAUUCUAAUAUUUUCCAUCAAAUGAAUUUAGCCUCACCUGCAGGUUGCAUUUUGUUUAAUUUCUAGUAUCAUUAUUUUAAAACUAUGUAUACACAAAUUAUCUUUCUCAUCUCAAUUAGUAAUAUGAGCUGGUGAUAGAAAUGUAAUGUGCCAUCUGGUUUCAAUUUAUCUCUGUGUAGUGGUAAAGACAGGAAGUACCAUAAAUUAAUGUACACAGAGUUUGAGGCCAAAUUAAGGGUAGAGCAUUUCUUCUUUGUAUAUAUUUCCAUUAUAACUUAUAACAUCAAAGAUAAAAAAAAAAAUAUAUAUAUAAUUAUUUUUUUAUUAUAAUAUAUAACAAAUAUUCAAGAUUUAGGCAAUUGAUAUUUAUAAUUAGGGGCAAAUUUCAAAGGGAUCACACUGUCACAAUACCCUAAGCAACCUUGAUCAACAUAUUCAAAAUUUGAACUGGACAUGAACAUGCAUACAACAAACAAAGAUGUCUUCUAUCAUGAACAAAGUAAUAUGAAUUUUACAAUGGAUUUAGAUCCAAAAGUUCCAAUCAAUUCUAUUGACACUGGAUAGUGCAUAUGAUAGCCUUCAGUUGACAUGACUCUUGGAUUUAGGAAGAUUGGUGUUUACACAUAAUUUGGAUAACAUCUUUUGUAUUUGAAAUCAGAAAAUUCAACUUUAAGGACAGUGAGUACAGAGAAACAGAACUAAAGGAUACACAGAUAUGUAACACAACAACCUAUAGAGGACAGAGAAAAUUUUGUUUUAUUAUUAAAUCAUACUUUUUUAAA